GCGACCCCAGGAUGGGCGAGGCCACCCGCUGAGUUU
rnacentral:rRNA from 6 species